rnacentral:rRNA from 1 species
GACGAACGCUGGCGGCGUGCUUAACACAUGCAAGUCGAACGGAAAGGCCCUGCUUGCAGGGUGCUCGAGUGGCGAACGGGUGAGUAACACGUGGGUGAUCUGCCCCUUACUUUGGGAUAAGCCUGGGAAACUGGGUCUAAUACUGGAUAGGACCAUGCUGUAGGUGGUGUGGUGGAAAGAUUAGUUUCGGUAAGGGAUGAGCUCGCGGCCUAUCAGCUUGUUGGUGGGGUAAUGGCCUACCAAGGCGUCGACGGGUAGCCGGCCUGAGAGGGUGGACGGCCACAUUGGGACUGAGAUACGGCCCAGACUCCGACGGGAGGCAGCAGUGGGGAAUAUUGCACAAUGGGCGCAAGCCUGAUGCAGCGACGCCGCGUGGGGGAUGACGGCCUUCGGGUUGUAAACUCCUUUCAGCCAUGACGAAGCCCUUGUGGUGACGGUAGUGGUAGAAGAGGCACCGGCGAACUACGU